rnacentral:rRNA from 1 species
CUUGACACUGAACACUGGUCCUUGAUGUGUAGGAUAGGUGGGAGGCUUUGAAGCGUGGACGCCAGUCUGCGUGGAGCCGCCCUUGAAAUACCACCCUUUAAUGGCUGGUGUUCUAACGUAGACCCGUGAUCCGGGUUGCGGACAGUGUCUGGUGGGUAGUUUGACUGGGGCGGUCUCCUCCCAAAGAGUAACGGAGGAGCACGAAGGUUGGCUAAUCCUGGUCGGACAUCAGGAGGUUAGUGCAAUGGCAUAAGC